rnacentral:rRNA from 1 species
UUAUAAGAGACAGCAGUAGCCGCGGUAAUACGUAGGGUGCAAGCGUUAAUCGGAAUUACUGGGCGUAAAGCGUGCGCAGGCGGUUAUAUAAGACAGAUGUGAAAUCCCCGGGCUCAACCUGGGAACUGCAUUUGUGACUGUAUAGCUAGAGUACGGCAGAGGGGGAUGGAAUUCCGCGUGUAGCAGUGAAAUGCGUAGAUAUGCGGAGGAACACCGAUGGCGAAGGCAAUCCCCUGGGCCUGUACUGACGCUCAUGCACGAAAGCGUGGGGAGCAAACAGGAUUAGAUACCCCAGUAGUCCCUGUCUCUUAUAC